UGAAUACGAGACGCUACGGCGUCGAAGCAGUCUAUGUCAUACUUCCAAGAAAAGCUCGCAAUGUCAUAAACAAAUAAUGCCUGUACCAUAACCGACACAGGUGGGUAGGUAGAGUAUACUAAGGGGCGCGAGAUAACUCUCUCUAAGGAACUCGGCAAAAUGACUCCGUAACUUCGGGAGAAGGAGUGCCUUAUUUAUAAGGUUGCAAUAACAAGAUCCAAGCAACUGUUUAUCAAAAACACAGGUCUCCGCUAAGUCGUAAGACGAUGUAUGGGGGCUGACGCCUGCCCAGUGCCAGAAGGUUAAAGAAGUUGGUUAGCAUUCGCGAAGCUGAUAACUGAAGCCCUGGUGAACGGCGGCCGUAACAAUAACGGUCCUAAGGUAGCGAAAUUCCUUGUCGGGUAAGUUCCGACCCGCACGAAAGGCGUAAUGAUUUGGAUACUGUCUCGGAGAGGGGCUCGGUGAAAUAGACUUGUCUGUGAAGAUGCGGACUACCUGCACCUGGACAGAAAGACCCUAUGAAGCUUUACUGUAACUUGAAAUUGAAAUUGGACUUUAUUUGCGCAGCAUAGGUGGGAGGCGUUGAGAGUAUCCUUGCGGGAAUAUUGGAGCCAUCAGUGAGAUACCACUCUUGUAAUGUUAGAUUUCUAACUUUGGAUCAUUAUCUGGUCAAAGAACAGUUUCAGGCGGGCAGUUUGACUGGGGCGGUCGCCUCCCAAAUGGUAACGGAGGCGUACAAAGGUUUCCUCUGAACGGGUAGAAAUCGUAUCUAGAGUGUAAAGGCAUAAGGAAGCUUGACUGUGAGACCUACAAGUCGGGCAGGGACGAAAGUCAGUCAACGGAUAAAAGUUACUCUAGGAUAACAGGCUGAUCUCCCCCAAGAGUUCACAUCGACGGGGAGGUUUGGCACCUCGAUGUCGGCUCAUCGCAUCCUGGGGCGGUAGUACGUCCCAAGGGUUGGGCUGUUCGCCCAUGAAAGCGGUACGCGAGCUGGGUUCAGAACGUCGUGAGACAGUUCGGUCCAUAUCCGGUGUAGGCGUUAGAAUAUUGAGAGGAGCCUUCUUUAGUACGAGAGGACCGAGAAGGACAUACCUCUGGUGUACCAGUUAUCGUGCCAACGGUAAACGCUGGGUAGCUAUGUAUGGAGAGGAUAACCGCUGAAAGCAUCUAAGUGGGAAGCCCACCUCAAGAUAAGAAUUCUCAU
rnacentral:rRNA from 1 species